rnacentral:hammerhead_ribozyme from 1 species
AUCCAACUGACGAGCCCCAAAUAGGACGAAACGCGUGUCCUGGAU